rnacentral:rRNA from 1 species
AAAUUGAAGAGUUUGAUCAUGGCUCAGAUUGAACGCUGGCGGCAGGCCUAACACAUGCAAGUCGAACGGUAACAGGAAACAGCUUGCUGUUUCGCUGACGAGUGGCGGACGGGUGAGUAAUGUCUGGGAAACUGCCUGAUGGAGGGGGAUAACUACUGGAAACGGUAGCUAAUACCGCAUAAUGUCGCAAGACCAAAGAGGGGGACCUUCGGGC